rnacentral:rRNA from 1 species
UACGUAGGGGGCUAGCGUUGUCCGGAAUCAUUGGGCGUAAAGAGCGUGUAGGCGGCCCGGUAAGUCCGCUGUAAAAGUCAAAGGCUCAACCUUUGAAUGUCAGUGGAUACUGCCGGGCUAGAGUCCGGAAGAGGCGAGUGGAACUCCCUGGUGUAGCGGUGGAAUGCGCAGACAUCAGGAAGAACACCAACGGCGAAGGCAGCUCGCUGGGACGGUACUGACGCUGAGACGCGAAAGCGUGGGGAGCGAACAGG